rnacentral:rRNA from 1 species
AUGAAUUGUAAACCGGUAUUUCAUUUCAGCUUUUCACUUGCAAUGGCCAAACAUUUUUAUGCCUAUAACUGGGCUCCUUCCCGGGUUACCGAGGAGCAGCUUAAUGGAAUGGUCAGGAUUGGUACCUUUCCAAAAAAGAAUGAGAUCCGGUGGCGAGUUCCUGGUCCGGAGAAUCCUCCUACCCCUAACCAGGGUGAGGUAGUGGUAUUUGUUGACCACAUAGGCCGUGGUUUCAAACCGCCCAGCUCAAAGUUUUUCCAGGAUGUGAUUGCCAGUUUCCAGCUCCACCCUCAAGAUAUUGGACCUAACUCAGUAUCCAAUAUAUGCAAUUUCCAAGUCUUCUGUGAAGUGUACUUACAAGAAGAACCAACUGUUGAGCUGUUCCGGGAUUUUUUCCAUCUGAACCAGUGCACUGAAUUUGUAGACGGACCCAACACUGAACUUGGUGGCGUCUCUAUUCAAAAAAGAAAAGAGGUUGAAUUCCCUCAUGCCAAGCUGCACAGUCACCCCAAAGAGUGGAACCAAACUUGGUUCUACUGUAAAGACACCUCCCCUAAAGACGAGAACCCUCUGCUGGGUUACUGUGCCCACCGGCUUUCCAACACUCAUCCACUGCCGCAACGUCUAAGUGCCAUGGAACGGGCCUCAUAUGCCCCUCAACUCGCCAAGCUCCGGGCCUUUAUGGCCAACGGUUUAUCGGUGUGGACUUUGUGCGUUGCUGGAUAUCCUGGAGCAUCUUGCCAUUAA